UGCAAGUCGAACGAGUUCUCGUUGAUGAUCGGUGCUUGCACCGAGAUUCAACAUGGAACGAGUGGCGGACGGGUGAGUAACACGUGGGUAACCUGCCCUUAAGUGGGGGAUAACAUUUGGAAACAGAUGCUAAUACCGCAUAGAUCCAAGAACCGCAUGGUUCUUGGCUGAAAGAUGGCGUAAGCUAUCGCUUUUGGAUGGACCCGCGGCGUAUUAGCUAGUUGGUGAGGUAAUGGCUCACCAAGGCGAUGAUACGUAGCCGAACUGAGAGGUUGAUCGGCCACAUUGGGACUGAGACACGGCCCAAACUCCUACGGGAGGCAGCAGUAGGGAAUCUUCCACAAUGGACGCAAGUCUGAUGGAGCAACGCCGCGUGAGUGAAGAAGGCUUUCGGGUCGUAAAACUCUGUUGUUGGAGAAGAAUGGUCGGCAGAGUAACUGUUGUCGGCGUGACGGUAUCCAACCAGAAAGCCACGGCUAACUACGUGCCAGCAGCCGCGGUAAUACGUAGGUGGCAAGCGUUAUCCGGAUUUAUUGGGCGUAAAGCGAGCGCAGGCGGUUUUUUAAGUCUGAUGUGAAAGCCCUCGGCUUAACCGAGGAAGCGCAUCGGAAACUGGGAAACUUGAGUGCAGAAGAGGACAGUGGAACUCCAUGUGUAGCGGUGAAAUGCGUAGAUAUAUGGAAGAACACCAGUGGCGAAGGCGGCUGUCUGGUCUGUAACUGACGCUGAGGCUCGAAAGCAUGGGUAGCGAACAGGAUUAGAUACCCUGGUAGUCCAUGCCGUAAACGAUGAAUGCUAGGUGUUUGGAGGGUUUCCGCCCUUCAGUGCCGCAGCUAACGCAUUAAGCAUUCCGCCUGGGGAGUACGACCGCAA
rnacentral:rRNA from 1 species